UUUUUCUUCUCUUUUUGCACCCUGUUUCCUCCUUUUUUUUUUUUUUUUAUUCUCCAUUUGGUCCUUCUUUUUUCUCUCGCUUCUCUGUGUUUUGCAGAUCGUAGUAAUAGACGCGAAAGACGGAAAUAAACGCUUUGACGAGCGGUAGCCUCGGUUCCCUCUGUUAAAAAGAUUAAUGAGGAGAGAUCGUUUCCGGGACUUCAAUUUUAUUAAAGGAGGUUCAAAGGGAAUCCUUCGCGAUACAGUGUAUCCCUUCGCCCUGUCCGCCAGCAGAUUUAAAGUGGAAUGGAGAUGGAGGAAAGCGAUGGAAGGAAAUAGGAGGGAAUCAGCACGGUGUUGCAUCACGAACAACAGUAAAGAAAAUCCUGGUAUUGUGCAAAAAAUGCAACGUAGACAAUGCGUAGACAGAAUCAAUGCAUGGGAUAUACUAUAUUCAAUAGGAAUCGUCAACAAUUUCAUUGGAUUCUCAUCAAAUUAGAUUACAAGGAAAUACUGGGAUAUUACUAUAUACGUCGAGCUAUACGUAUACACAACAGAUGGAAAUUUCGUAUGUGAAACACAUUCAAAGAAAAACUUUCUCGACGAUGAAAUAAUAAAUUACGAGAAAUCACGAUAGCUUCACGAUAACGUCGAUCGAAGCUCGACACUUCCUCUACAAAUCGUCUCCAUUUUGAAGCAUCGUGAAGCACGCCAAUCGGAGACAUUAUUGGAUGUCUAUCGACAAAGAAGGAUACAAGAAGAAGUGCAAUAAUCUGGAUGAGAUCAGAAUUAAUAAACGAUCCUGUUUGGAAAAGUUUCUAGUCCUUUAAGAACAUUCGGGCAUCGUGACUCGGAGGAUGCGCGAUCCUCAACGUCGCGACGAUAUACCCGGUUUCGUGUCUAUUAUACAAAGCUUUCUCGAAAACUUGAAAGGAAAAAAAUAUAAAAACAAUAGAGAAAAAAAUGGCGAGAAAAGAAAAAAAAGAAAGAGGAGGAAAAAGGGAACACAAAGUUUCCAUCACGCAAGUGAGAAGUCUACUCGUUUGCUCACUCGUUCAUUCGCACGCCUCUGCGAAGAUUUACGCCUGGUCGUCUGUAAUUUAAUAGAGGAUACUUUGCCGGAGUUCCUUCGAGAGUUACCUGUUCUGUUCGCACGGCCCGCGGAACGUGAGCUGACUUUGUGUCUCGGCAUAUCGUAGGGAAAGACAAAUAAAAAAAAAAAAUAGCUUAUGGAAAAAGGAAAAGGAGAAAGCGAAGAAGAAGGAAAAGAAAUGAAAGAAGUGAAAGAGAAGCCAGAUUGCGCGCAGAUCGUAGUGUCGUUAUUCACCGAACCGGCUCGAAUAUCUAAUUACGAUGAAAGAGGCUGUCCACGUAGCGGGGUCCCAAUGAAAAAUUCAAUAUGAAACUGUAAUCGGGAGCUCUGUCUUUCUCCACGGAUUAGUAUCGGCGGCCUGGCCGCCUUCUUCGCUUCCAAUGUCCGUGAUUUAUGACCGGGCCAUACGUAACGCGCAUCGGCUGAAUAAUUUUCUCUGCCGGCUCUAUGUACGAUACUUUUCCAUUCUCAUCGAUCUCCAAGUGUCAAACUGGUAUUAGAAUCGGCCGAAUGUUGUACGAUGUCUUAUCGAGUUCUCGUCGUUGAAGGCUCAUCUUGCCCCUUUUACUUUUGAGUGAAUCAGAGUUCACAGAAAUGGAAGUAAAUCGACUGACAAAAAGGCCAAUCGAUUGCUUGGCAUUCUGAUAUUUAUUCAAGUUGAUUUCGAGGUGAACGUAGUUCAGAUGAUAUUUUAUCUGGAGUGAAGAAGUGAAGAAAGAAAACUUAAAAGAGAUAUUUUUGUGUUGAGACAGUUAUGGAGAUAGGUUUGAAUCAGAACUGUUGCUUCUAGCCUGAAGAGUUUAUAGUUAUAUAUAUAUAUAAUAUAUAGAAUAAGAGAAAAGAAAAAUACUGUUAAAGAACAUAUUUAGAAGAAAUAAUGGUCGAGAUAAUAUCAACAGUAUUAAUAAAUUUGAUAAUAAUAUUAAUAAAAAUUAUGAGAAAGUUAUAAGAAAAAAGAAAUAAUUUUGUGUAGAGAAGUGUAAAGCCAUUAAUCUAAUGACAUUCUUAAUUGCAGAUUCGACAGGAAUUUCUAGUUUAAGACUGUGAUGCUUUCUAUAAGAAAUUUCAAAGAAAAAGCGACAAAAACAAGUCCUCGAUCAAAUCCCGCAUCUAGCCCUGAAUACCUGUUUAUCUUGUAGCAAUAUCGAACCGUAGACGAGAAAGAUUAGACAUGCCUUGUUAUGAGGUGAGAUAGAGAAUUCAAAUUUUCCCUUUCGAAGUGAACUUCGUUAGCAUAACAACGAUCUGCAAGGAACACGUGGGACGUGAAACAUUCAACAAAAUGUAAAAAACGAAGAGACAUGCUUCCAAGGGAACGAAGCUGUGCAGGCGCAAUGAUAACGUCGAGAAAUUUUCACGUCGCGGCUCUUAAUAAAACUUACGAAACGCACGAAACGUAAUAAACGAGCGACGUGUAUAGGUGAUACACGCGGCCAGGCGACUGACCCACUUUUUCUCAAGAUGUAUGAAUAUUAGUUUAACGAACUUGCCGCAACGAAGAUAUAUUUGCCACUCUUUCCUUCUUGCUUUUUCCGUAGGUAGAUAGUAUUGCGCUUCAUGUACUUGCAUUGCACGAAUUUUUUUCCACAUUAAACGAGCCGUCUUCAACUCGGGUGGUAAUCAGCCAUCUUCUUAUUUUCACAAACGUUUUGCAUUUUAAGCACGAUGUCACGUAAAGAUUUAUCAUCAUUCUUAAUCUAAUAUCUUUCGCGCGAUAUUUCAAAAAUAUCUAAUAUAAAAUUGUAAAAUCUAUUUAUUAGUCUGUAAUAUAUAUAUAUAUGAUUUAUCACUUGUCAAUUUACUAAUAUCAUUCGUUGGUAAUCCAUAGCAUAAGAUGCCCCUAGAUGUCAGUUUGAUCGUAAUUCUCUAGUAGGGGGAAAGCAAGCAGAUUAACGCCGGUCAGAGUAAUAAUUCGUGCGGAGAACAUCGGAAACGGUUGGAACGUCUGAAUCGCAUAUCCGGCCGAAAUGGCCGGAUACGAAUCGAGUGUCAGCUUUGGGAAUUCAGCCGGUCGAUCGGUCGAUUAUACACGCCGUAAUAGAGCGUCACGCAACUAUGAGAAUCCGUUGUGUACUGGUUGGCUUCGAGCUGCCUCGAGAUGUGUCGAAACAGAAGCUUCCACGCCACGCGCCACGCUUCAGGAUUUGCAAGUGGACACGUGUAUGUAGUUACCCUUUGGCAUCGUGUUCUCGACGUGGAAUUAACAACACGACGUCAUUAGACCGGAUGGAAUAACUAAUGAAAGACCGAUUGGACGAUGAAGAUUGAUUUUCAAAAAUAUAAAGAGCAUUUCUAGUUGUAAAUUAAUAUAUGGAGUUAAAAUAUUUGAUUUUUUUCAAGCCCUAUUGAUGAAAUGGUUGUGACAGCCCAGUCGAUCAUCGAUACUGCCUUUUCCACGUAUCAUCUAUCAUUGGUUAAAACAGAACCUAAUAACAAGCAAGAAUAUUCAAUUGGAAGAAUCUCAGUUACUUCGGAACAGGAAACGAUUACAGGAUAAUCAGAAUCAUCUACGUUUAAUUGAACGAAUUCUGGACGUUGAUAAAAGCAUCGAUUCCAUGCAAGAGACAAUAUCUGAAGAAUUUCAACGUGAAAUCAAUCUGACGAUUACAUUUAUUUUAUAUUUAUGGAAAGAUCAAACUAUACGACAUACAUAAUACAUCCACUUCAUUGGAAGUUUACGAAACAGUAGACGUUAUCUAUCCUUGUACAACGACACGAAGAUUCGCCAACAACUGCAAUCGUCGGAAAAAGAUACGAAAGCGUGCAAUGUUUUAACUCGAUUCAGAAUUACCAGCUUGAACACGUGUACAUGUGUAUCCCCUUGUUGCGCGUUCACCGCGGCCAUUAAAGCCGCAGCUUUAACUGACCCCGGUGGAGCUUUGCCGAUAUAUUUUCCAGUAGAGGCCAGUAAACGCUGCACUUAUAAAUAACAAGAAGAUAGAGAUAGAUAUUUUUCCCAGUAUUCAAGCACCAAAUCGUCAAAUCAUCCCAUUAUUCAAAUCAGAAGACAAUCAAUCAUCUAAUCAACGAUUCAAACUCUAAUUAUCAAGAGACUCUCAAAGUUCCUACUUCAAGAUUGGAAACCGUGGAAUUCCAUUAAAGUACAAGUUCGUCCUAUCGAGGAGUGAACUGCAAGAAAAUACAGACAGAGUAACUCGGUUCCACGACCAGAUCGAACAAAACGCUAUUCGCGAUACAUGAAGGGAACGAGUUACUCGAUAUCCUUUUUUUCACUACCGGGAGCAUGCACACCCUGAUGACUGAUCGUGGGAGCUCUUAUUAAAGCGAUUCACGUAAUUCUUCGCAAUCCAUGUUUCAAAAGGCGAUGAACUAUAACGUUUUCAUUAGUGCUAGCUCGCUACGUGUAAUUCCAGUGCACUGGUUGCCUUUUCGAGUCGUUUCAUUCCAAGCGUAUAUAUCUCCGCGGUUCAUGGCCAAUGAGAAUGCGAUCCGGCUUCUACCUCAAGGUAUUCUCUGCUCUUCUCUGUUUCCGCCGGAAGCCGCCGACUCGAUUAAUCGUCGAUGGAAGGUAACGUGUAACGGAGGCCAGAGUCAAUCUCUUUGAGAGAAAAAGAAAUUGUCUCUUCGUUUGUGUUUUAUGUACAGCUUCUGGAUAAUUUGAAAGUUUUUUCGAAAAAACUUUGGAAAAAAAAUUUAAUCUUUGUCUUUUUGAACGAGAAGAGAAGUCAUCAGAAUAUGAGAAAAGAAGAAAGAACGCUUUUCUCUUUUAAACUUGAAAUUUUUUUUUAUUUAUAGCAAUUUAAGAAGAAAAGUGUUUGAAAAGAAGGGGAAUAAUUAUCAAUAAGGAUGAAAUAGUUUUCUUGUUGUGAAACUUGUAAAGCCAAGUAUUUCGGUGCAUGAUUGUAGAAUCGGUGCGUCGGAUCUCUAUGCACAAUGAAUGCUGGCACGAGGAGUUACCGCAAUGGUGCCAUUUGCUGCCGGAAACGUUGACCAGGGUAUCGUAAAGAAGUUCAGAGAAGCCUCGAAAAUGUGCACUGGAAGGCGACUUCUUUCCUUUGCGUGGCUGAAAGAAAUUGAAUUUACCGCUUUGUGAGAAACACCAAGAUCUGCAACGUUCGAAUCUCGUGGCCAUUUUGAGCCCAUCUUCUAGAGAAGCCAGAAACAGUUAAUAGGAUCAUGAAAAUCUAAUAAAUCUAUUGGAAUGUUUAAUUACAAUUCAUCAUUUUAUCUUUUUACUUUAAAUAUUAUUGUGAAUGUUAACAAAUUUAACAAGGUACAGGAAUUGAUAAAACAAAAAUUGAAUAUCACAUAAGAAAUUGGCCACGUGGCAAACGAAUCCCUGAUGGAAUGUUAAAGUUCGACAUCCAUGAAAGGAAACCAUUUCUCAACCAACUCUUCGAACGGUAACGAUAGUGGAAGAAAAGAAGGGGCAUGAAGGAAGUUUCGCAGAAACGUAAUAACUCUGGCAAAGAUUAGACGGAUAAGGGGGAACCGUCAAGACGUCUACUUUGUAAGAUAAGAUUCGGCAGAGACGCUUUGAAGCCUUUCGUAUCGAUAAUGUAACUUUGACCGACCAGUCGUGUAACACUGAAUCGCUCAAUUACCAGGUCCAAGUAUAACCGUGCAAUGACUCGUGCACUUGGCAAAAAGAAAAUGGAAAAAUCGACUGAUACGGAGUUCUAAUAAAAAUGAUCAUUUUUUUAUUAAUCGAUCGAUCCUUUUUUCAAUUAAUAAAUUUUUAAAUUAUUUCAAAGAAAUCAUUAAUAUAUAAUUAUUAUAGAAAUUUUUGAUAUCGUAUACAUAAAGUAGAUCAGAAUACUAUUCGUUAUUUUUUCGAAAUUAAAAACAUUUUUAAUUUCUCGUUAACUCCGUUUCUAACUUUGGCAUUUUCAUUUCAGGAAUCUAAUUAAUCUUAAUCAAGACAAGAAUUUAAUUCGUAAAAGUAAACUAUUGCUUAGAAAUUAACACUUCAUUCGAUAAAUGAUCUGAAUGAGAGAGUAUCAAGGAGUGCGUCGUAAAGAUUUAUGGUUCGUGAAUCAACGUGAAGACAAGAAACGUUGGAAUCCAUCUUGGAAACUAGUGGAUGAACGGAAGAAUGCUUGCACAUUGUCGACAGACACCAGGAACGAGAAUCUGAACAAGAUUAGGCUAGUUUCCAAGUCAGCCGAGAGGACAGCCGUGCCACGCGACACUUUGUCGGCGACCAGUCCCUAAUGAUCGUUCGCAUUUGUCGAAUUUAAUUCCGGAUAUUCGAUUCCUAAAUGCCUCGGGGCGAGACGAAAGCCAGCUGCCGGUGGAAUCGAUUCGAACAUAUCCCUGCUGGAGUUCAAGAGGUUGGAUAGUUAUCGGAAACGUGGCUAAAAACGAUAGACUAUAUAGAAGAUGGGAAUGAAAUACUAUCUUGACCCUAUUUACCGGCCUAUAGAUUCUUUGCUUAUGAGUCGCUUGUUUAAACUGAUAUCUGAUAACAUAGUUUUUUUGAUUGCAAUCAAAUAUAAUAUCCACCAGUAUUACUCGAUAAUAUUUGAUCACUUAUCACAUAUAGAUAAAUGUGGGUCGGUCAAUUAAUUAAAUUGGAUUUUUCUUUCUUAUUUCUUAAAAAAUAUGAUAUAAAUGAAUAAAAAAAAAUGUUACAAUGGAUGUAACUUACAUUCUGCUGUUACUUUUUGAUAUUUUGCAAGUAUCUACAAACAGUUGUCGAAUUGCAUCUACAAAAAUUUUUUAUUAUAUGAUUUAAUUAUGGUUUCAUUGAUUUAUGUUGUUUUGUGAAAUAAUAUUCUGCAAGAUUGGUACAUAAAAUAUAAUAUACAUUAAUAAAACAUGUGAUUACAGAGUGAAAAAUAAUUAACAAAAGCAAUGUAUAAUGAAUAGUAGAGAUUGACAAGAAAAUAGUUAAAGGAAUGCUGGGAAUGCUGGCUCGCGCGCUCGUGUAUGCCUUGCGACAUUAAUCCAUUUUCAGAUAAUCAUGCUCUCUGGUCGCUUAAACCUGACAAACUGUUUUCUUUGUGUUCAAAACGAUAAGACAAUCAGAUCUUUUACGAAUUAUGCACAAUUAUGUCACGAUCGUGGAAUUAGAAAUUUUCUAAACUUUAAAUGUCAUUUUCCGACGGCAAAAUUUUUAUGCAAGUACAAAAACGUCUAAUCAAUAGAAAUUGCGCAUGGAUGAACAAUGCAUUUUAUGUUUAAUAGCGUUGUUAAAAAUUAUGAUUAUGAAUUGGAAAAUGGUUUGGAAGUUUUGAAACUAGAAGAGAAUCUUUAUAGUUCAAUGGGUUAGAACAAAGAGAUUGAUUAUGAGGUAUUAAACUGGAUAAGUAUAUAUGAUUAUUAUUUCUUCCUACAUCAUUCUAGCUAAGUUUAAAAUAUGUAUUUUUGUUAGAUUUCAAUGGUAUCUAUGACAUCAAUAGUUCAAGAAAUAUUUUAAAAAUAUAUAAUUUUACAGAUCACAAUAUUUAGACGCUUUUCUGAUAUCUAUCCAAAUUAUCAUUGCAAAUGUAGCUCUUACAAACAUAAUUACGACAAUUAUAAAAUAUAAUAUAUAAAAUAACACUAUAAGAAAAACUCAAAUGAAAUUAUGAAAUCUCAUAAUGGAGAAGUAAUAACACAUCACAUAUUUUCAAUUUUGAAUAUCAUUUCACAUUAACCCAUAUAUAUUUCACAUGUGUACAAGUUGAUUCAACACCCAAAAAAUUUCUUCCUUUUCGUUUUAUAGAAACUAGCUCGAUCAUUAACCAAAGAUAAUCACGAUGGCGGACGCAUAACUUGAUCAAUCCUCGACGAUCUUGGCGAUGUAUUUUUUUUUUUUUUUUUUAUUUCUUUUCCUUAUUUCUCUCUCCCUUUUUAGUUCGCAGUUGCGCAAUCUUCCCCGUACUUUGAACGGUCUCGUUUCACCGUCUGCUCCGCUCCUUCGAGCAGAUUUAUUCUAUUUAUUCGCUCAACCUCGAGGGAAGUCGGCCGAUUACGUCGAAAUUCCUUCUCCAAAGCCCUGCGAAUCGACCUCUUUCCAAUCUUUCUCUCGCUCGUUCCUUUUUUCCCUCUCCUUCCUCUCUCUCUCUUCUAGCCAAGCUUUCGAGUGUUUACUCGCGUGUUCGAGUUCUGUCAGUAUCACACGCUCUCCGCCAAACAAAUCGAUCGUCUCCUAUCGCCGCCUCUUUUCGCCGAUUUUCGCCCGCCUUUCGACUCGACCGAUCCCCCGGGACCACGAAGCUUUUACGGGUGAGAAACCAGGGGACCAGCAAGAUCAAUUCAAACAAUAUAUGCACGAUAACAAUACGUGACAAUAAUAAGAUUCCACCUGAAAUAUGGUAAUCUAUAUAAAACGACAA